rnacentral:piRNA from 1 species
UACUACUAAAAUGUAGAGGUCUGUCUCCUU